GUGCUUGCUUUGACAGAACAUAUACUAAAAUUGGAGCCAUAAUGAGAUUAGCAUGACCCCUACACAAGGGUGACAUGCAAAUUCAUAAAGCAUUCCAUAAAAAA